rnacentral:rRNA from 1 species
ACUCCUACGGGGGCAGCAGUGGGGAAUAUUGGACAAUGGGGGAAACCCUGAUCCAGCCAUGCCGCGUGUGUGAAGAAGGCCUUCGGGUUGUAAAGCACUUUCAGUGGGGAGGAAAGGUUGAUGGUUAAUACCUAUCAGCUGUGACGUUACCCACAGAAGAAGCACCGGCUAACUCCGUGCCAGCAGCCGCGGUAAUACGGAGGGUGCAAGCGUUAAUCGGAAUUACUGGGCGUAAAGCGUGCGCAGGCGGUCUGUUAAGCGAGAUGUGAAAGCCCCGGGCUCAACCUGGGAACUGCAUUUCGAACUGGCAGACUAGAGUCUUGUAGAGGGGGUAGAAUUCCAGGUGUAGCGGUGAAAUGCGUAGAGAUCUGGAGGAAUACCGGUGCGAAGGCGGCCCCCUGGACAAAGACU